rnacentral:tRNA from 1 species
GGCUUGCUGGUCUAGUGGUAUGAUUCUCGCUUUGGGUGCGAGAGGUCACGGGUUCGAUUCCCGUGCAAGGCC